rnacentral:rRNA from 1 species
UACGGAGGGUGCAAACGUUGCUCGGAAUUAUUGGGCGUAAAGCGCACGUAGGCGGUCUAUCAAGUCGGAUGUGAAAGCCCCGGGCUCAACUCGGGAAGUGCAUUCGAAACUGACAGGCUUGAAUAUGGAAGAGGGUCGCGGAAUUCCCGGUGUAGAGGUGAAAUUCGUAGAUAUCGGGAGGAACACCAGUGGCGAAGGCGGCGACCUGGGCCAAUAUUGACGCUGAGGUGCGAAAGCGUGGGGAGCAAACAGG